rnacentral:pre_miRNA from 1 species
AGCCUUCUGUAUCCGUGCUGAGAUCCCGUCAGCUAUCAGCCUAUCGGACCUGAUGCUACUUCCCAGACAAAUGAAGUG